rnacentral:lncRNA from 1 species
UUGCUUGAACCCAGGGGGCAGAGGUUGCAGUGAGUGGAGAUCGCACCACUGCACUCCAGCCUGGGCCACAGAGCAAGACUCCAUCUCAAAAAAAAAAAAAAAAGUAAUGGAUUGGUUUCAUACAUUUAAUAAACAAUGUCUUGUGUAUACUUGUGCUGCACUAAGCAUUAACAAUUCCAAGGUGAAUUAGACGUUACCCUGCCCACAGUCUAUGGGGAGACAGACAAGUAUAAAAACAAUUAGAACACAUCAUGAUAACGGUAUUUGGGCGGUGUGGGAGACAUGAGAAGAGUAUCCAACCUGGCUGGAGAGAGGGAAAAAGAGGGAUUUUCGUUAGAGAAGACUUUCUAAAGAAAUGGUGAUUGACCUGAGUCUUGAAAAUCAAGCUUGAGCGGAUCAAGCUAAGUAAGUGGAAUGGCAGUCCAAGCAGAGGGAUCAGAUAGUCUAAAAUUAUGUUGAUGUGAGAGAAGCCAGCAUAUGUGACACUGGCUAUGAAGAAAGUGGGGGUAGAAGAACAUAUUGAGGAGUUAGUGUCCUGUCAUGAUGGAUCAUGUGUGCCAUGCCAGGGAGUUUGCAUCCUUUGGCCAUAGCAUCCACUCCUUCCCUUGCUUUGGGGAAACUAUUUCUUCACCUUGUGUGUAGUCUUGGUGGCAUUAUUAAGAUGCCUUGUGUUCCCCCAACUAGUGGAUAGAUGGAUAACCCUAGUUAGGCCAACCAGAUUAUCUGCCAAGGGUGAGAGGGAAAGUAGUGGGAUAGGAAGUUGAGAGUGUUUAAACAUGCCCCCCUUGGGAGGGGAUGAGAUUUCAUUUGGAUCCAUGAAAAGAUUAUUAAAUUGGAUAGAGAGCACAAUCAAGGAUAGAGGUCAUGUGUGUGAUGUUUUCUUCAGCAAACUCAAUAGCACAGAGUCUCUAGUUGAUUUUCACAUCUUACAACUGGAUAUAAAUACUGUAUUCCAGCCAUUUGAAAGGUGUAUUCUAUAGCUAUUAGGAUUAUAUUUUGUAACCAAAAAUUAAAUGACUUUAGUAUUUUAAAUAAGCAUUGUAUGGGAAAUCUGGACUAUGUAGACCUCAUUCCUCUACUGUAACUUGGAUGGUUAUUCCACAAAUUUGAGUAAUAUGUGGGUAUUACUUUCAUUCCAUGUUUACCUAACAACCUUCUUGGAGUUCCAACUCAAUAACAACAGGAUCCCGCAGUGGAAAAAAAAAUCACUGUAUUAUUUAUACAUAAAUUAUUUAGUUAUACAUAAAUUCUUUAGUUUUCUAAAUUUCUAAGGGCUUAAAACUGUAGCAUCAUUAUGACACAAAAAUUACACAUCACAGAUAAACUCUCUUCCCAAGGUUUUGGAUAUUGUUUUUUCUUUAAAAAUGAAAAUACAUCUAUCUUUAUAAUAUACAUGUUCAUUGAAGAUAAGUUUCAAGAAAGGCAGAAAAGUAUGAGGAAUACACCUAGUGGUUUACAUUGUCCAAGACAUUUUUCUAUGAACAUUUAUUUAAAUAUAAGUUUACUUUAAAAUAAGAUCAUAUCAUACGUACUGUUUCAUAACUUAUUUUUUACGUAACAUAUCUUAGACAGCUUUGCUGAGUACCACAGACUUAAUGGCUUAAAACACCACACGUUUAUUAUCUGUUUCUGUGCAUCAUCAGUCCUGUCACAGUUUCUGUCAACAGAUUGCAAUUCAAGUACUGGCCAGGGCUACAAUCUUAUCAGAAGCUCAACUGGGAAAAGAUCCACUUCCAUGUGCCCUCAAGUUAUUGGCAGAAUUCAUCUCCUUGCAGCUAUAGACAGGUCACCAUUUUCUUGCUGACUAUCAGCAAUGGGCUGCUGUCAGCUUCUAAAGGCCACCCUCAAUUCUUUGCCUCGUGGUCCUCUCCAUAGACCUCAGAAAUGGCAGCUUACUUCUUCAAAGCCAACAAAGGAGAGAGAAUCAUUAUAAUUUUUAAUGGUAACAUAAUAUUC